GGAUUGUGGCUCAGCGGUAGAGCACUCGCCUACCACAGGUGGGACCUGGGUUCAAUUCUCAGCACCA
rnacentral:tRNA from 1 species